rnacentral:misc_RNA from 1 species
ACCGCGUUCCAGGUAACUAUGGUCAAGCCCCCAUCCAUUUUUUUUAACUUAAUACCAAACAUUGUAAACCUACAUAAGGUAGCUUUUCAUUUUCAUAAUUGCCAUCUACAUGCAAUAACCUAGCACUUAAACACACUUCAGCCAUUAAAAUGUGUUGCGCUUUUGAGAUACCUCUAGACAAACUUUCUCAAUGGACUUACACUAGCAGACUGAUCAAUCCCUAGGAAAUGUAGUACUCAACUUAAACCUCCUUAUCCCAUAAAAAUAAUAAUUCUACUAUAUCUCCUUCUCUAAAUGACCUUAUCUUCGGACAUUUAAAUGUUUCCAAAUCAGGAAAAAAUUAAACUGCUGUACAGGCAUACCAUCUUUAUUACACAAUAAUCUCAUCUCUUCUUCUCUUUUGUCCAAUUCUUUCUUUUUCUAAAUUUAUCUUCUCUCUCUCUCUCUAAUGGACC